rnacentral:lncRNA from 1 species
GAUUAUCUCUCUAAACAUCACCAACAAGGAAAGACAGGUGGAAGACUCAGCCCUGGAAAUUUUGAAUAAUUACACACUGCUGCCCCAGGAAGAAUCUUGGUGGAUUGAGAGACAAUGGACAAAGAGAUCAAGAUACUCUUCUGACUGGACCUAGCCUUCAGGAAGGGACCUCAUCAGGACCAGGGAGAUUAUUUGCCUUUGUACCCUCCAAAUUCCCUGAAUAGCCUCUUAACAGCUAAAUCCCUAGACUGUCUCUGGAGAGAUAAAGGAAAUCUACUUACCCCUAAACUACCAGGCAAGUAAGAACCACUUAUUUUACAUUUACAAUAACUGUGAUGUUAAAACAAAAAAAAUUAAUAAAACUUAAAGGAUAAUAGAUGUAUCCUGUUUU